GACAUGCUAGUCGCGUGCUUCAGCCAAAACGAGGCACGGCAAACAGCUCAGUAACACGUGGCUAAUCUGCCCUUAGGACGCGAACAACCCCGGGAAACUGGGGCUAAUUCUCGAUAGGUGAAGAACUCUGGAAUGAGUCUUUGCCUAAAAGAGCUUACGUUAUGCUCGUAAGUUUCGCCUAAGGAUGAGGCCGCGACCGAUCAGGUUGUUGGUGAGGUAAUGGCUCACCAAGCCUUUUACCGGUGCGGGCCGUGGGAGCGGGAGCCCGGAGAUGGGCACUGAGACAAGGGCCCAGGCCCUACGGGGCGCAGCAGUCGCGAAAACUUUGCAAUAAGCGAAAGCUUGACAGGGCUAUCCCGAGUGCCAUCCGCUGAGGAAGGCUUUUACCCAGUCUAGUAAGCUGGGGGAAUAAGGAGAGGGCAAGUCUGGUGUCAGCCGCCGCGGUAAUACCAGCUCUCCGAGUGGUGUGGAUGUUUAUUGGGCCUAAAGCAUCCGUAGCUGGCUGAGUUAGUCCCCUGUUAAAUCCACCGAAUCAAUCGUUGGAUUGCGGGGGAUACUGCUCGGCUAGGGGACGGGAGAGGCAGACGGUAUUUUUGGGGGUAGGGGGUGAAAUCCUAUAAUCCCAGGAAGACCACCCAGUGGCGAAGGUGUUUUGCUAGAACACGCCCCACGGUGAGGGAUGAAAGCUGGUGGGAGCRACCCGGAUUAGAUACCCGGGUGUCCCACCUGUAAAGAUGCGAAYUAAGUGUUGGGAGGGCCACCUUGCCGUUUYAGGGGCCCAGGGAGCUGUUAAGUUCCCCCUGGGGAGCGAUCCCAAAAUGAACCUUAA
rnacentral:rRNA from 1 species